GACGAACGCUGGCGGCGUGCUUAACACAUGCAAGUCGAACGGGAUCCGGGCUUUCGGGUUUGGUGAGAGUGGCGAACGGGUGAGUAACACGUGAGUAACCUGCCCCCUUCUUUGGGAUAACGUCGGGAAAUCGGCGCUAAUACUGGAUAUUCUUGCUGCAUCGCAUGGUGUGGUUUGGAAAGGGUUUCUGGUGGGGGAUAGGCUCGCGGCCUAUCAGCUUGUUGGUGGGGUGAUGGCCUACCAAGGCUUUGACGGGUAGCCGGCCUGAGAGGGUGUCCGGCCACACUGGGACUGAGACACGGCCCAGACGCCUACGGGAGGCAGCAGUGGGGAAUAUUACACAAUGGGCGCAAGCCUGAUGCAGCGACGCCGCGUGAGGGAUGACGGCCUUCGGGUUGUAAACCUCUUUCAGUAUGGAACAAGGAUCCUUCUUUUGGGGGGUUUGAGGGUACGUGCAGAAGAAGCGCCGGCUAACUACGUG
rnacentral:rRNA from 1 species